rnacentral:lncRNA from 1 species
UACUGUAAGCUUCUGUUGUUUGACUAAGCCACUCCAAAUUAACAGUGGACUGUAUAAUGAGGCCGACCAGUGGUAUUUUGCAUGGACUAGCACAAAACAUACGAUGAUAAAUACCGAAGUACUAAAGUAAGAAAUUGGGACUCAUCACGCAAACAAGCUAA